AGGCUCGGAGAGGGAGGAGACGUCCGGGAAAGCCAGCGCGGGGAAAAACGAGGGCUGUGCGGCGGUCAGGAGGGCUGACAGGGGCAAGGCAUCCGGUCGAUGAGCUUGGAAAGGAUGGUUGCCAGCAGCCAUCCACAGCACUGUGCCAUAAGCCCGGGGUUGAAGAGGGGAGUGGCGGCGGUUGGGUCUGCUUUUCCUCAUUCUGCGCUACUGUGAGGGAUGGUCCAUGACACACUGCUGUUUUUCUCUGGUGCAGCUCCAGCCGACAGCAUGAGAGAAGCGCCAGAACAGGAAGGAGACAAUCAAUCUGAGUGAUGGUGCAUGAAUUUCACCUCUCUGGUCACAGUCCACACCUGGGACAAAUUCAGAAAAAUGUUAGGCCACUGAGGGUUCCUGGCAAGUCAUCCAAAGGGCAAGCAAGUAAAGUACAUAGCACAUCUGAAGGUUGGAGUGUUCUUAAAUGACAAACAGGAGGAAGAGGACAGGAAGAUAACUUAAGUGUGGACUUAAAGCUGAGCCGAGAGGUCUAAGGACAGGUCACCUCAAGUGUUGUCUGGGUUCUGUAGUGUCUUGUUUUUUAAUCAUGACGUCAUAUUGGUAACAUAAUAGACACAACAUAUGGAUGUGUUUAUGCUGACUGUAAAAUCUAAAUGCUGGGAUUAGCGUAGCUUUAAAAGAAUGAAUCUGAAUUACCACAAACAGAGCAAAACUCAUGUAUUCAAUUAGGGAAUAUCUUUCAUCUGUAUUUCUCAUUACAACACAUGAAAGAUGAUACAAAUAUAUACAUGUGUGUUACAUGGAAA